GUUUGCAGGAGAGAGGAUCGACAGAGGGAAACUACAGGGUUUGGCGGCAGGAGAGAGGGGACGGAAGGAUCCGGCAGGCUUUGCCAAGUUUGACUGAGCGAACGCACACAGGUGGGGAAGGAACCCCCGGACGACACAGCACAUCCCGCAGGCUACCGGAGCGAACCCCAAGGAACACACAACACGCAGGGGUAGAGGAAACUCUGCCUCCCACGUAAGUCCCGUGUGUUCUGGAGCUGUGGAGACAUCUGACUGGCUGUGGCUUUGCGGGCUCGUGCGUCGUAGCUGGCUCUUGUGGACAGGGGGCAAUUUGGACCCGGAGACCUGCGGUGACCCCCGAUAGUGACCAAGAGGCGGAGCGGGACGGGUGCGGCCACGUAGGUCCCGCUACUGACUGUGACGAGGAGAGUGGGCGUGCCCCAACACUUUGACGCGGAACUACAGCAACGGCAGGGGAAACCCUGCCUUGUGUGUGGACGCCGUGGAAGGGGCGGAGCCAAGAUAUCCACACGCCUGUUGGCCCCUCGCCCAUCACCUUUGUACCAUCUGGUAUUUUAGCAUCACCAAUGUGACUGUUUUUAUUGUAUUUUAAUAAAUUGUGAACCGGUUAA